rnacentral:rRNA from 1 species
UUGACCAGUUAACUUUAGUGGCGGACGGGUGAGUAACACGUGAGAAUUUACCUUUAGGAGGGGAAUAACAGUUGGAGACGACUGCUAAUGCCGCACAUCAUAACUAUGAAAGAAGAAAUUCGCCUAAAGAAAAGCUUGCGUCUGAUUAGCUAGUUGGUAAGGGUAAAGGCCUACCAAGGCGACGAUCAGUAGCUGGUUUGAGAGGACGACCAGUCACACUGGAACUGAGACACGGUCCAGACUCCUACGGGAGGCAGCAGUGGGGAAUUUUCUGCAAUGGGCGAAAGCCUGACAGAGCAAUACCGCGUGAGGGAAGAAAGCCCACAGGGUUGUAAACCUCUUUUGUCAAGGCAGAAGUUCUGACGUUACUUGACGAAUAAGCAUCGGCUAACUCCGUGCCAGCAGCCGCGGUAAGACGGGGGAUGCAAGUGUUAUCCGGAAUCACUGGGCGUAAAGCGUUUGUAGGUGGUUUAGUAAGUCUAUUAUUAAAGCUUGAAGCUUAACUUCAAAAGUGUAAUAGAAACUACUAGACUUGAGGAUAGUAGGGGUAAAGGGAAUUUCCAGUGGAGCGGUGAAAUGCGUAGAGAUUGGAAGGACCACCGAUGGCGAAGGCACUUUACUGGGCUAUUUCUGACACUAAGAGACGAAAG